AGUUGCCAGCAUUCAGUUGGGCACUUUAAGGUGACUGCCGGUGACAAACCGGAGGAAGGUGGGGAUGACGUCAAAUCAUCAUGCCCCUUAUGACCUGGGCUACACACGUGCUACAAUGGACAGAACAAAGGGCAGCGAAACCGCGAGGUUAAGCCAAUCCCACAAAUCUGUUCUCAGUUCGGAUCGCAGUCUGCAACUCGACUGCGUGAAGCUGGAAUCGCUAGUAAUCGCGGAUCAGCAUGCCGCGGUGAAUACGUUCCCGGGCCUUGUACACACCGCCCGUCACACCACGAGAGUUUGUAACACCCGAAGUCGGUGAGGUAACCUUUUAGGAGCCAGCCGCCGAAGGUGGGACAGAUGAUUGGGGUGAAGUCGUAACA
rnacentral:rRNA from 1 species